GCAAUGAUGAUCUUCAAAGUGGUUUUUGAAAUGAAUAAUGAAAAUUAUUCGUAUCCUCUAAGAAGAACUGAGCAU